rnacentral:lncRNA from 1 species
UUUUGAAAUUACAGUAAACCAAAUAUAUCUGAAAUUACCUCAUUUUUGUGAUAUAAAGAUGAUAUGAAACUGGUAAGGGAAAGUCUAACCCCUGCAACCGCAAAGGAAAAUUAUUUACUAACUCACUGAAAUCUUGAUUGAAACCAUGAAGAGUUUGUGUGAAUGUAUAUAAGUCAAAUGCAUGUUUUCCCUAUACAGAUAAAACCAGGAUUUUCUUGUGGUGAUUUACCCAGUUUACCUGGUUAUAACUAUAAUGGCAUUGCAUAUUGUGAAAGAAUAUCAAAACCUGAGAUUCCAUUUAUUCACUCACUUAUUAAACAUAUAUAAGACAUCUACCCUUUAUUAUUAUUAGCAAUACUUAAUAUGAGUAAUGAAUGCAAAGAAAAUCAGUCAUGAAUUUUGUAGUCAAGUAGCUUGUGGUCUGGCUGCAGAGAUAAGGUAUGUAAACAAAUAAUAAAAAAUACAAGAGAGUAAGAUAAAUGGUAACAGGAUAGAAAUGGAGUGCCAAGUGUUUGAGUAAAGACUGCUGAGAAGAUCUGGUUGCUGAAGGGCCUUAAAAGUAAAGGGAAUAUCGUGAACAAAGGUACAAGAUUAGGAUGAAGAGUGAGAAGUUGGUGCCAGAAGUUAAAACCACCCCAGAAUGAGGGGACAUUAAAGAAAUUCAAAGGUCUAAAGUGGUUAAGUAAUAAUUCAAAUGGUUCUUUUUUUUUCUGCCCUAGUUUAUAUGACUUACUGCCAACAGUACCCAUGGCUCAGUGAGGCUUCAUACUUAUAGAGGUGGUAGGGUAUGAAUCAGAAUCUCCUUAGAGUCCUGAGGGUGGAGGGCAAAGGCAUAGUUUGAAAAUGCAUACCCUCUUCGGUAUUCUAAUAUCUCUCCUGAUGGGGAAUCACUGAUUGACAUUGUCUCAGAAAUACAUUUUCUGUCCUUUAAAAAUUCUGAAAUAAUAUCAAAUUUUUCUCCCCUCAGAAGCCUACGCCAAAUAAGUGCUGUAAUCUUAGUACAACUUUGUAGUACAGUCAGACUCAUUUGUUGAUGUCUGACUGGCUGAGUUUUUAAAACCUAUUAUUCCCCCUUCCGCCCCAUAUCUGGACAUGCCAGUAAGAAAGCUCAAAUGCUUCCACCUUUGUGCCUGGUGGAAGUUCAAACCACCUAAGAAUCCUCACUGCAGCCCUACCUCCAAGCCACUAGGAAAAGCCAGGCUCCUCUACUUUCCCUGCUCAAGCCAUUUCUGGACCUGCUUGAGAACUCGCUGCUCUCUGUAAAAGCCUCGUGUGAGUGAUAAACCUUUUCAUAUCUAUUUGGUCCUAAUGUAACAUCAGUCCUAACACCUAAACCAAGUUUUGGGUAAGGGGUUCAACCUCUCCUCUGUGGGAUGACUAAACACUUUAUGCAACAAGCAGAGGGUCUAGGAGAUGACCACUACCACUGCAGGGCUCUCCUCUUGCUUUAGUUUGCUAACUGACUCUUGCUGGCUAGAAUUUUUUUUUUUUUUUUUUUUUUUUUGUCACUGCUGGCAAGCUCAUGCUUUGUGCUGUGCUGCUUUGUACUGCGUUCACUGAGCCUUACCAAGCUUCUGUUAUAGAUGUGCUCAGCUAAGUUGGAAUUUUUGAUAAUUGGCAUUUAAGAACAAGAAUAAAGUGGCAUUUAAGAACAAG